rnacentral:lncRNA from 1 species
UUCAACCUUGAUCAACACAAAACAGAAGAGGAAUGAAUAUAACAAGUCAAGAACUCAAUAAUAUUUUUUUGGUAAUUUUUGAAUUAAAAGAAAAUACAAAUAAAAAACAAACAAACAAAGUUGAACCUCAAAUUCAAUUCAAAAUAACUUUAAUAAGUCCAAUUAAAUUUUCAUAGGUUCAACAUAGUCAAACAAACUUUGACUAAUUGUCUCACAAAUUUUUAAAGU